rnacentral:rRNA from 1 species
UACGGGGGGGGCAAGCGUUGUUCGGAAUCACUGGGCGUAAAGGGCGUGUAGGCGGGAAGGAAAGUCAGAUGUGAAAUCCCUGGGCUCAACCCAGGAACUGCAUUUGAAACUCCCUUUCUUGAGUGUCGGAGAGGAAAGUGGAAUUCCUGGUGUAGAGGUGAAAUUCGUAGAUAUCAGGAGGAACACCGGUGGCGAAGGCGGCUUUCUGGACGACAACUGACGCUGAGACGCGAAAGCGUGGGGAGCAAACAGG